UGUAGAUGAGACGAGUAGGUNAUCUGGACUGCAUGGCACUCAAGUACGAUACUACCCGUCAGUGGGACAUCAUAGAGGGUGACAAUCCCGUCUUUGGUGCUGAUGUUCGAGUCCUUUACGAUGCCUAUCUCAGGAGAGUCGAGUAGUUUGGGAUUUGCUGCUUGAACAUGGGAGGUAGACACCUUCUAAAGCUAAAUAUUGGCAAGAGACCGAUAGUGGACAAGUACCGCAAGGGAAAGAUGAAAUAGCACUCUGUAAAGGGAGUCAAAAGGCGUGAAAUUGUUGCGAGAGAAGCGAUUCAAGUCAGCUUGACUAGGCCCAUGAUGACAUCCGUCCUCUGGACUAGUCUCGCCAGCGGUCUCAUCUUAUUACGGUUUGACUAAGGUGCGGUACAUCCUCAACGCACGGCUGGUGGAAUGGCUUGCAAUCGACCCGUCUUGAAACACGGACCAAGGAGUCUAACAUGCAUGCAAGUAUAAGGGUGACAAACCCGUAUGCGCAAUGAAAGUGACUUUCAGUGAUUGUUGUGUGGCUUGACGACCAGACAGGAAAUAUCAUGUCCCUCGGAUGGCCACUGCCCAAGUUCUGUGGUACGAACCCAUGAACAUGGAGACGGAGCAUGCAUGCUAGGACCCGAAAGAUGGUGAACUAUGCCUGGACAGAGCGAAGCCAAAGGAAACUCUGGUGGAGGCUCGUAGCGAUUCUGACGUGCAAAUCGAUCGUCUGAUCUGGGUAUAGGGGCGAAAGACUAAUCGAACCAUCUCAUAGCUGGUUCCUGCCGAAGUCCCCCNCCAGGA
rnacentral:rRNA from 1 species